rnacentral:rRNA from 1 species
AACGAACGCUGGCGGCAUGCCUAACACAUGCAAGUCGAACGAGACCUUCGGGUCUAGUGGCGCACGGGUGCGUAACGCGUGGGAACCUGCCCUUAGGUUCGGAAUAACUCCCCGAAAGGGGUGCUAAUACCGGAUAAUGUCUUCGGAUCAAAGAUUUAUCGCCUUUGGAUGGGCCCGCGUUGGAUUAGCUAGUUGGUAGGGUAAAAGCCUACCAAGGCGACGAUCCAUAGCUGGUCUGAGAGGAUGAUCAGCCACACUGGGACUAAGACACGGCCCAGACUCCUACGGGAGGCAGCAGUGGGGAAUAUUGGACACUGGGCGAAAGCCUGAUCCAGCAAUGCCGCGUGAGUGAUGAAGGCCUUAGAGUUGUAAAGCUCUUUUACCCGGGAUGAUAAUGACAGUACCGGGAGAAUAAGCUCCGGCUAACUCCGUG